ACUGCAAUGAAACAUGGAGCAUGCUAUUAUUCCCUUUUUACAGAGGGGGAGAUCAAGCCAUACUUGACUACAGAAUGUAGACUAGUCUUGAAUGUUACCCUGGUGGUGGCUGCUCACACUUUGAACUGAGAUUCCUUUUGAGAAGACCUUGAAUAUGCUACAAAGUCCAACUGCCUGAAUGAAAAGCGAGUCACAAAAUUAAAAAGGAGACUAAGUUAUGGAGGAAUAGAGAGAAACUUGGAUAACUUCUCCAGGACAAUGCAAUGAGGAGGAAUGGCAAGGGAAACAAAAUCAAAUCUUGGCACAGUUACAAAUAUGAUGAACAUUCUUGCUGUGCUGAAGACCUAGAUGUGCCAGAAACAAGCUAUGAUCUUUACAUUCUAUAAGGCUAUUUCAACUUUGCAUUCCUACAUGAACUUUUCUGUGAUCCUCUCUCUUGUACUGUCUAUAUCAUGUGUGUUUACCAGACCUUAAAAGUAGGAACAAAUGGGCCAGGGAUUUAACUCAGUGGUUUCGCCGCCUGCUGCACAAGUGCAAGGACCUGAGUUCGAUCCCUGGUACCAAAAAAAAGUAGGAACAAAUUGCUUUGACUUUGGGAUGCAACUGUUACAGUGAAAUGACCAGGAGCCAUAUGUCAUUUCUCAGUCAUGAAUUGGAAUGUUUUUCUAAGAGUUUCCAUUGUUUCUAUCAGCCCAGAGAUGAUUCCAUCCAUCCUGAAAUAUCUAAAUAAUCAGACACUGAAAUGUGCAGAGACAGCAGGACCUCUGUCCAAUAGUCUGAUGACAGGAGGAAGGAAAGAGUCCCAUGCAAAUCUUACAUUAGAUUUCGUGCUUCUAGAGCACAGACCUCAGCUGCUCACACUGUGUGUUCAACACUUGUCUCCUGCCUGGCACAUAGCAAGGACCUAAUGGGAGAAGGUGAAUAACACAUGAAGGAGGACCUCCAUAAAAGUGGAUCCACAGUGUACUUCAUUCCCAACCCCCUUAGGAUUACCACAGCCUCCCUCUGAGUAUUCCACCACGAUUUUUUUCCACAUCACUGGAGUGAUGUGUCAUUGUCAAGAUAUUAUAAGAGGCCAGAGU
ensembl:lncRNA